rnacentral:rRNA from 1 species
GACGAACGCUGGCGGCGUGCCUAACACAUGCAAGUCGAACGAAGCAUAGCAAUAUGCUUAGUGGCGGACGGGUGAGUAACGCGUGAACAAUCUGCCCUGUACAAAGGAAUAGCCUCGGGGAAACCGGGAUUAAAACCGUAUGACACUUUUAGUAUCGCAUGAUAAGAAAGUCAAAUCGAAUAGAGGUAUGGGAUGAGUUCGCGUCUGAUUAGCUGGUUGGCGGGGUAACGGCCCGACCAAGGCGACGAUCAGUAGCCGGCCUGAGAGGGUGAACGGCCACACUGGAACUGAGACACGGUCCAGACUCCUACGGGAGCAGCAGUGGGAAUAUUGCACAAUGGAGGGAACUCUGAUGCAGCGACGCCGCGUGAGUGAAGAAGGUCUUCGGAUCGUAAAACUCUGUCCUUGGUGAAGAAAAGGACGGUAGCCGAAGGAGGAAGCCCCGGUAACUACGUGCCAGGCAGACCGCGGUAAAACGUAGCCGUG